CCUACGGGCGGCAGCAGUGGGGAAUAUUGCACAAUGGGGGAAACCCUGAUGCAGCGACGCCGCGUGAGUGAAGAAGUAUUUCGGUAUGUAAAGCCCUUUCAGCAGGGAAGAAAAUGACGGUAUCUGAUUAAGAAGCCCCGGCUAACUCCGUGCCAGCAGCCGCGGUAAUACGUGGGGGGCAAGCGUUAUCCGGAUUUACUGGGUGUAAAGGGAGCGUAGACGGCAGCACAAGUCUGGAGUGAAAUGCCGGAGCUUAACCCCGGAACUGCUUUGGAAACUGUGCAGCUAGAGUGCGGGAGAGGUAAGUGGAAUUCCUGGUGUAGCGGUGAAAUGCGUAGAGAUUAGGAGGAACACCAGUGGCGAAGGCGACUUACUGGACUGUAACUGACGUUGAGGCUCGAAAGCGUGGGGAGCAAACAGGAUUAGAUACCCGGGUAGUC
rnacentral:rRNA from 1 species